CACAGGUGUUCUUCCUUCCUGGAAUUUUUAAGAAAAGUAGUCAAGUGAGUGGACAGCUUGUGAGCGACAAGGGAACAGAGCUGAUUAACUUGAAGACAUGUCAAAUCGCUUUGGAAGAUAUCCUGAAAGGUCUCUGGUAUGGGAAGACUAGUCUUCAGAAUGCUCAAACUCAGCCUGGGUUUGCUAACUGACAAGCACUGACAGAGGUCGGAAGCAGAGCACCCACCUUGGCUGGGACUCCCACAGGACUGAAGAUGGCAGAGUGGACAGAGGUGGAAGUUUUGGUCAUCUCAAAGUGUUUUGGGAGAAGAUUGCUGGAGUUCUGACAAAGAGGAAGCAAGUGAA